GUGCUUGCUUCCAGCAGCACAUAUCCUGAAAACUUCGAACGAUACAGAGAUUAGUGUGGCCCCCGCGCACGGAUGACACACAGAUUUGUGAAGCUUCCAGAUUUACAAAAAUUUUUU
ensembl:snRNA U6 U6 spliceosomal RNA